CAACCCUCAAGCACAGCUUGGUGUUGGGGCUCCCAGGGCCGCUUCGGCGCCCAGGGUCCCCGAAAAACAGUGGCGGUCCCGCCAGGACUCCGAGCGCAGUAGCUUAACCUCGCUCGCGGUGUCCCGGCGCGGUCCCGGCCGUUAAACCCCCAUCUUUAUAAA
rnacentral:misc_RNA from 1 species